rnacentral:rRNA from 1 species
UGAUCCUGCCAGUAGUCAUAUGCUUGUCUCAAAGAUUAAGCCAUGCAUGUCUAAGUAUAAGUACUUGAUUGACGAAACUGCGAACGGCUCAUUAAAACAGUUAUAAUUGCUAUGAAGGACAAACGUUACACGGAUAACCGUGGGGAAACCAAGGCUAAUACGUGCGUACGGUCUUUGACCAGCGUUUAUUAGAUUAAGAACCAACAUUCUGGUGCUUCAUGGUAACCAUUCGGAUCGCAUUUAUAUGCGAUGGUUCAUUCAAGUUUCUGACCUAUCAGCUUUCGACGGUCGGGUAGUGGCCCUCCGUGGCAUUAACGGGUGACGGGGAAUUGGGGUUCGAUUCCGGAGAGGGAGCCUGAGAAACGGCUACCACGUCUAAGGAUGGCAGCAGGCGCGUAAAUUACCCAAUCCUGACAUGGGGAGGUAGUGACAAGAAAUAGCAACGCGAGGCAUAUUGUCUUGUGAUUGCAAUGAGUAGAAUCUAAACAUUUCUACGAGAACCAAUUGGAGGGCAAGUC